rnacentral:snRNA from 1 species
AGAACUUUUCGGCUUCUUGGAGCUAAAAUCAAGUAUAGUACCUAUUCUUAUCAGUUUAAUUUCUUUGGAUGGACACCUGCAACACCUUCUCUGAAGAUGAAUUCUGUUGCUGCUAUUUUUGAAAAAAAUCAGUGCUGCUUUGAAGAUAUAUUCCGCUGGUGCUACUUUGGAAGAAAAUCCUCUCUCUGCUCCUGAGACACUGUCA